GAUGAACGCUGGCGGCGUGCCUAAUACAUGCAAGUCGAGCGAACAGACGAGGAGCUUGCUCCUCUGACGUUAGCGGCGGACGGGUGAGUAACACGUGGAUAACCUACCUAUAAGACUGGUAUAACUUCGGGAAACCGGAGCUAAUACCGGAUAAUAUAUUGAACCUCAUGGUCAAAUAGUGAAAGACGGUUUUGCUGUCACUUAUAGAUGGAUCCGCGCCGCAUUAGCUAGUUGGUAAGGUAACGGCUUACCAAGGCAACGAUGCUUAACCGACCUGAGAGGGUAAACGGCCACACUGGAUCUGAGACUCGGACGAGACGACUUCAGGGAGCAGCAGUAGAGAGUCGUCCGCAAUGGGCUAAAGCCUGAUGGAGCGACGGCGCUUGAGUGAUGUAGGUGUUCAGAUCGUAAUGCUGUGUUAAUAGGGGAGAACGAAUGUGUGCGUAACUAUGCACGUCUUGACGGUGCCAUGUCAGAAAGCCACGGCUAACUACGUG
rnacentral:rRNA from 1 species